rnacentral:lncRNA from 1 species
CUGUCUGUUUCCAGCUGCCUUACACCCCCACUUCCUCCUGGUGCACCUGGCCUCAGGUAAACCAAGGAGAGAACAGAACAGGCCAUUCCAGGCAUGGUAACCACACCCAGAGAAGCAGCCUCACUCGUGGCUGGCAUCAGAACACAUCCUGGAAUUGGAAGACUCAGACAGUGGCCUUCACAGAACUGGUGAGAGCAAACCUCCUUUAAAUGGAGGAAAAGAAGCUGGGGGUAAGGGGCAGAGAAGGGGCAGGCUUUCCGCUGCAGGAGUUGCAGCAGGAGACAGGGAGGAAGGAGAGAAGCAGAAACCAGGGCUCCCCAGGCAGGCGGCAGGGAGUCUGUCUUCUAAGCCAGUGUUGGUGACGUUGAACAAGCCCAACAGGCUCCAUCUGGAUGUCUGAAAAGUCGAGAGACAGGAGCUUUUAGACCUGCUCACCUGUUUGCUGGUUAUUUGAGUCACAUUGCACCAGAGGAGAGAUUUAUAGAGAUGUUCUCCUGACAGUUAUUUAAUUAGGGCUCAGCUAUGAAUAUGCAAUCAAACGGUGGCCGAAACUGCAUGUCCCAUUAGAGCUUAAUGACAUAAUUUCAUUUCUGUUUUAUCACAAACAAGGGUAUAAACUCCGACAGCAGCCGUCACCGGGGACAAAUGAGAGCAUCUCACAUUGGAAACUCCUUAAGGAGCUACAUCGGCCCCUCGUUCCUACCAGCUAUGAAGUUAUCUACUUCUUGUUUAUCUCAUCAAGGCUUUGACAUAUUGCCAUCACGGAAGCAAAUCAACAGAUGCAUCAGGCAGAUGAUGCCUUCCUAGCAUUUAGCAAAAUACCAAGCAGCACUUCGAUGCCCAAGAGAUUCCUUGUUUUUGCGGUCGGUCUGCAGAGAUGUGGCUGCUAGAACCAUGGGAAGAAGGGGAGCUUUGUGUUUGUCUCCACCAAGGGCCCCUGGGAGCACCCAGUUCACCCCCACUUCAGCCCACGUACAGCCGAACCAUCAUGGUCUCAUCCUAGAGACUCACUGCUGCUGCUAAGUUGCUUCAGUCGUGUCCAACUCUGUACGACCCUAUGGACAGCAGCCCACCAGUCUCAUCUGUCCACGGAAUUCUUCAGGCAAGAAUACUGGAGUGGGUUGCCAUUUCCUUCUCCAAGAGACCUGCUAGUGUCUUCAUAUGGACAACUGGGAUAGGAACCAGCAGUCUCCCAACCUCCAAUCUAGUUCAACAUUGAAAUAUGUAUAUAUUCAGUCCUACUUUAGUGAUACAUUAGGUACAAAAAUAUAAAUUAAAGAUGCAUGAGAUAAAAACCGAGUAUAAAUGCACUGGGUUGGAUAAUGUCCCUCCAUUAAAAUUCAUGUCCUUCCCUUCAUGAACCUCAGAAUGUGACCUUGUUUGAAAAUAGGAUCUUUGCAGAUGUAGUAGGUUAAGAAAAAGUCACCAUGGAGUCAGGUGGGACCUUAAUUCAAUAGGACAGGCGUCCACAAUAGAAGAGAAGAAAACACACAUGUGCACACACACACACACAUGCACAUAUGCAUACAUGCACACACACAUACACAUAUACACAUGUAACACACACACACACACACAGGGCCAUGUGACCAUGGACACAGAGACUGGAGCAACGCAUCUAUAAACCAAAGAUUACGGGCAAGACCAGGCAGCACCCACCCGUAGUACCAUCAGAGAGAGAACGGAGUCCUUGGUUUCCAACUUCCAGCCUCACUGACAGCGUCCUGUCCCUU